UACGGAGGUCUCAAGCGUUGUUCGGAUUCAUUGGGCGUAAAGGGUGUGUAGGUGGCGCCGGAAGUCGGGUGUGAAAUUUCGGAGCUUAACUCCGAAACUGCAUUCGAUACUGCGGUGCUUGAGGACUGGAGAGGAGACUGGAAUUCAUGGUGUAGCAGUGAAAUGCGUAGAGAUCAUGAGGAAGACCAGUGGCGAAGGCGGGUCUCUGGACAGUUACUGACACUGAGACACGAAGGCCAGGGGAGCAAACGGG
rnacentral:rRNA from 1 species